rnacentral:rRNA from 1 species
AUUGAACGCUGGCGGCAUGCCUUACACAUGCAAGUCGAACGGUAACGGGCCUUCGGGUGCCGACGAGUGGCGAACGGGUGCGUAAUACAACGGAACGUGCCCGAUCGUGGGGGAUAACGAGGCGAAAGCUUUGCUAAUACCGCAUACGAUCUAGGGAUGAAGGCAGGGGACCGCAAGGCUUUGCGGGGCCGGGGCGGCCGAUGCGAGAUUAGGUGGUUGGUGGGAUAAAGGCUUACCAAGCCGACGUUCUGUAGCUGGUCUGGGAGGAGGAUCAGCCACACUGGGACUGAGACACGGCCCAGACUCCUACGGGAGGCAGCAGUGGGGAAUUUUGGACAAUGGGCGCAAGCCUGAUCCAGCCAUGCCGCGUGCAGGAUGAGGGCCUUCGGGUUGUAAACUGCUUUUGUACGGAACGAAAAGCCUUCUUUUAAUACAGGAGGGUCAUGACGGUACCGUAAGAAUAAGCACCGGCUAACUACGUG